UUUGCCAUGAUGGAAAACUCCCCACA
rnacentral:piRNA from 1 species